rnacentral:lncRNA from 1 species
CCUAAGCAUAUGUUAUAUAUUAAAGAGAGAGAUGUGUGGUCAAAGUCUUGAAUCUGAAGAUAUAUGAAAAGAUAGGAAUUAGCUGUUUUAUUUUUGUUUGGUUAUCUGUGGCUUUGCUGGAUUUCUCAAUUUUUUUUGUUUCUUUGUAUUUAUUUUUAUUUUCCUUCAAGAGGAAUAUUCUCUGUUUCUUUCACCUAUUUUUCUGUAAAUUUUAAUUUAUUUACAUUUAUUAGUGACUGGUAUGUGACUUAUUACGUGUCAGUGACUUCAAAACGUUUUCUUUACAAAAAAAAAAAUUAAACUAUAUAUGUAUUCAUGAGCACUUAAAGAAUUUUAAUUUAUAUGGUUUAGCUGAUAAAGAUGAAGAAACUAUUGGUUCAAGAUUUUGAUUUUUGACUAUGUUUUGGUUUUUUUUUAUUUUUGUAAAAUAAAAUAUUCAAUAAUUUUUAAUUAUACUGAAUUGUUGUAUUUUAUAGCGUGUAUAUGUAUAAUCUUAUACUACUACCAUUUUAAAAAAAAAUCGCACCUAAAAUAUUAUUAUCAAAAAUUUGAUUUUUUAUUACUGGGAGUCUAAAACCACCGAUCACUUUCAAGUUGUUUCACAUAAACAAAGAAAUAAAAGAGCGAUGAUUACAAUGAAAUAAAUAAUGAGAAAGCAAUGUAUGAACCGACGUUGAUGAGAGAAUUAUGUGGACCAGUGGGGGAAGUAGGAUCCAAUGGACUUGGUUUAACUGAUACUUCAUGCCACCGCCAGUUUCUUUAUUAUCUUUUUGACUACUUCAUUGUUAUUAUUCUUUUUUUAUUUCUCAAUGUUAAUUUUAUUACAUAGUUUUUUUUUUAAUUUCAAAAAAAAACUACAUGCAAAAACAUUACAUAUAUAGCCAUAUAGUAAACAUAAAAUAUAACUCAAUCAGUUUUUUUUUGAGUUUCAUAUUUAGUGUUUUUUGUUUUGUGUGUUAAUGAGUUUAUAGACCAAUUACAAGAACCCUAUUCAACUCACUAAUUAUUGUAUAUAUAAAUUGAAUUGUUAUGUUGCUGUUUUGUUUUCUUCCUUUAUUUUAAAACUUUAGCUAACAUUCUUAUUAUAAGUCAAAUUUAUUGACUAUAAAGCCUAUAUUUUAUAUCACUGAAAUUAAAAUGUGAUAACGUCGGUUAGGUUUGGAACUUGGAUGUGGCGUUACCAUCGACAUGACUUUUGUGGAAACUCUUGCAAUACAAUUUUAAUGCUAACUUCUUCUUGAAAACAAAUAAAGAAACUCUAGACCACAAACUAAAUUAAAAGACAUGUAUAUAUUUAUAAACUAAAAUAACUAAAACUAAGCACACAUACGUAUUCGAAUUUUGUUUGACAACGUUCAUGAGUGCUCAUCUAUCAAACCCUUCUUUGAUCAUGUCAAUUCUUAUUUGAUUUUAGUGGCUAGCUUAUUCGGUUUACCGUUUAUCUUGUUUACAAAACAUGUUUAGUCAAAAUCAUUCAUCUGAUUACGAUAUAAACUUAUAUAUAUAUAAAGUUCAAACUAUCCACACGUACGACAUGUAGUCAUCAUCACUCAUCCAAAUAUAUACAUGACUAGAAAGCACGUUCAACAUUUUUUGGUGACUAGGAAGCACGUCAUUGGUUACUACUACUAUAUGUUUCUCAAUCUCCACGUUACACUUCAUCCAGCCAAUAGAAUAAGGGCCCAUCGCAAAAGUCUUGUUGUGCAUGAUUAGUGAUUAUGUAAUUAUCAUUUGAAAUUCAUUUUUCUCAUAUUCGUUCAAAGGCGCUAUUAGAUACUUGUUAAUGACAGUUUCUCAAUGAUGUUGCAUAUAUCUUCCAAAUUCCUUCACUGUUUAUUUUUUUGGCAGAUUUGAACUUCUUCUAAAGUUACAUAAAACUGUAUUAUAUGUUAAUUAUAUAUAAGAAUACCAAUACAUAUAUUCUCUUUUAACUUGUAAUUGUACUAAGUACAAACUAGGUUAUGAUUAUACUAUAUAUCUUAUAUUUAUCACUACCAGUGAGUAUUUAUUUUGGUGUAAUUAAUUAAAAUCACGAGCAAACGAAGAGUGUCCCCAAACCCCUAGACCAGUAGGUGGGUUUAAUCAGAGUGUUGAAAUGCAUAUUUUUGUAAAAAACUUAUAUAUUUUUUUGUAAAAAACUUAUAUAAUUUUGUUGUUUUUGUUGUAUUUGAAGUCCUAUUCUUUGUACUUGAACUAUAGUCCAAUCUUUGGUGUAUACAAGCUAACUAUAUUUAGUUUUAUGUUUGGGAAACAUAACAGUACUAGACAAACACAUUGGAUCGAAAAUUUAAUCAUCUUCUUAGUAACCAUAAGCUCAAAUAGUCGUCUGAUACAUUAAGUCAAAUAUAGGAAAUUAAAAGACAUAAUGGGAAUUAACUAGCGAAAUGAGUUUGUGAACUUGAUACGUUCAGUUUACUUUUGCUUUGGAAGUUGAGGCCUCGUCAUCUUCCUCUGUCUCUUUAUCCUUGUUCUUCUCUGACUUGUCAAGGUUGUCGAUACUAUGCUUCAAUCCAAUGUAAUAGAGCAACGCCCCGAUUAAUGUCAAGUUCUGCAUAUCAAUCACAAUCUUUUGUUAAUCACCUAAAUUAGUACCCUUGAGAUUCAAUCAAUGUAUUGAUUUACGUGGUAACAUAGCUUAAUUAACCUGAGUGAAGUCAUUCAAGUUGGUAGGGAAAGGAACAACAGUUGAGAGCAUUUGUGUUACGAGCUGAAUCAAACGUCAAAACAAGUUGUGAGAUUAGAAUCUUGAUGCACAAAAACUUUUGUAAGCUAGAGAUUUAUGUUCUUACCAAGAAGUAUGCUGGGAUGGAUUGUCCAAAGAUGAACCACAAAGCUGCAGUUGCUUUUGCACUUAUGAGUGAGAAUUCAAGAAGUCGAACAUCGAACACAACCACUUGCAUUCCAGAGUAAAAUGUGAGAACCUUAGAACCGUAUUUGGUCAUCGCAUUCACGGCUGGUCCUACCGUCUUCUCGAGUGGCCCGCCAUCGCCAAAAUGAUCAGCAUACCUAAUUAAACAUAAUCAAGUAUCAAGCCUCUUGUGGAUUCGAAUAUAUAAGAAACUAACCGAAUUCAAAGAUUUAUUUUAAAAUUUCUUACUCUUGGAUAGCAGAAAUGAGAAAGACAAAAGCAAAUGCCAUUCUCCCAAAGAAGGCAAUGGCUGGCAUCGACCUUGUUAAUACCGUGCACAUGCUCUUGACAUUUGACAUUUCCUCAGAUUAUAUGAUCUUGAUUCUUGAUACUAACGUUUGCUAUAAUCUAAAAAAAUUCGGUAUUGAGAUUAGAAUUUUGAUCACAUAUUGAAAUCAAUCGUAGCAAACAAGACAAACAAAAAAAUCGAAUCAUUCUAGACAAAUAAAUGGUUUACAUGGAUCUUGAGAUCCGGGGCAUUCAGACAUAUAAAAAACCAAGAACUAGAAAAGCAAACUGAUCAUGUUGUCGAAGAUAUAUACUAACAAUGUUUUUAACUAAUUGUGUUCUGACCAAGUAAUCAAGUCUGCCUAUGUAAGAUUAACUAAUCAGAAACCAAGAAUCGCAUGAUGAUUAGGAGCAGAGAGACUUACUUGUUCCAAAAGCAAACUAUGAGCGAUCUCAAGGAAGUAAUUACUAGAAUUCAAGCUUCGAUGAGUCUUCUUGCAUAGGAAGUAAAUAAAUAGAACAAAUGUGACUUGACAUGGAUAAAAGAGAAACAUAUCCAUUGACGAAGAAGAAGUUGAUCUAGUCAUUUCAGUCGUAAUAAACAAUGACCAUCAUCGUUCACGCAAAUAGUCUUAAACAAAAGCCUCAAAAAUUUGUUCAUUAUGAAAUUAUUUUUUAUCUUUAGAGAAGGUGAUAAUCAUGAUUUGGGUAUUUAAAGUCAACGUUUACAAAAGUGACCAUUAUAUAAAAAUAAAUAUGUAGAGUUGUGCAGUGCUGCUGAUAAAUCAUAACUUCAGAUUUUUUUUUUUUCCAAUUAAACUUAAGAUUAAAGAAUAAUUAAUAAAAUAAUGUCAUUAUUGAUUUUAGUGGUGUUCAAAUGAUAACCAUAUUUCCAGGCUUCCAGCGUAUAUGAUCCUUAGCUAUAGUUUGGAAUAAAAAAGAGUAAUAAUAAUCCGAGUGAUUACGGCUAAACAUCUGUAACUAUACCAACUUUUUUUUUUUUUUGUGAAGCUUAAAAAAGGAUCUAAAAUAUUUUAGAAGAGAUUAUAAUUUUUUUUCUAAAACAAAUUAUCAUAUUAUUCAUGAAUUUUACAAUAAAAUAUAAAUACAUGUUAGUCAAAUCUUUAACAUUAAUAAGUUUUUUUUUAUCUCUUCCAUUUACGAGUUCUUCAUUUAAGCUUUUCAACGUCAUUUGAAAUUUUGGAAACUCUGAUUUCUAUUUAUAUUUUAUUUUAGAAUUCAUGAAUAACAAUGCUUCAGUAUGUGUAUCCUGACCAUUAUUGUUUUCUUCAACUCUCACGGAUGUGUUUUUCUUAUUUGUAACGAUAACUAAAGAGAAUCAUCGUGUCUUUUUGGAUGUAUCCAUUGACAAGACUCUAGCUGAACGUAUUGUUAUUGAAGUAUUGUCAUUCAACCAUCUUCAUUUUGUUUGCUUUCCGCCUCCCCCCCCCCAUUCUUUCUUUCAUGUGUUAAAGCUUCUUAUAUUUUUCUUUAUUCCUGUAGCUUUUUGCUGAUGUUGUCCCUCAUACAGCUGAAAACUUAUGUGUCCGCUGCACAUGUACAUUUUAAGACUUACUCACAACAUUUUACAUCUAUCUAUUCCUACGUGAAAUGCUAUAGUUUCGAAUAAAAAUAGUAAUAAUAAUCCGAGUGAUUAUUACGGCUAAACAUCCUGUAAUUAUACCAACUAUCCUUUUUUUUUUUUCUGUGAAGCUUAAAAAAUAAUCUAAAUUUUUUUAGAAGACAUUAUAAUUUCUUUUCUAAAAAAAAUUAUCAUAUUACUCAUGAAUUCUACAAUAAAAUAUAAAUACAUGUAGUCAAAUCUUUAGCAUUUAUAAGUUUUUUUAUUUCUUCCAUUUACGAGUUUUUCAUUUAAGCUUUUCACGUCAUUCAAAAUUUUGGGAACUCUAUUUUCUAUUUAUUUUGAAUUUAAGCUUAAAAGCGUAAAAACAUGAUUUAAUUCGAUGAACUUUGUAGCGAUUCAAGGAUUGCCAUUUUGUUUAGGCAUUGUAGUGAACGAUGUAUGUAUUUACCAUUAUCAUGUCAUAUAAUUAAAAUAUGUGUUUGAGUCUCCUAUUUUUUGGUUAUUCUAUUUUAUCAAUGUACUUUUAGUGAAUAUUUAUAAAAGUUCAAAACAAAAAUCUUACUCUAUCUAAAUUUAUUAUCUAAACGAGCAACAAGAAAACACAAACCUUAAGAUUACCAAAAAUUUGAGCGAGGACAGAUUACCUAACACAUCUGGAAUAUAGUUUAAACUCUCAAGAAUUUAUUUUGAUGUGCUUAAGAAGUACAAUAAUUCAGAAGCAACUAAGGAAGCUAGCAUGAUGUCCGUUUUUGUUUCCUUCCGGUUUCUUAAAUCUGAAAAAUAUUUUAAUUUUAAUAUGCUACAUACAUAUAGUGUUUCUUGAAUCCGUAAAAUAUUCUAAAAUUAAUGUUACAUUCAUACCUUGUAAAUACAAUUAUGGAGGAAACAAAAAGUCAAUAAACUAUCUACAACGAAUAAGACAUUAGAAAAAUUGUUUUAUAUGUAUGAACAUAUUGUUAAAUAUACAUACUAAGGUAGGAACAUGUAGGUGUCUAUUAUCUGUCAUUAAUUAAGAAGAAAAUGCAUAGUAGUGAGAUUAUUGUAAACAAUGUGGUCUCUGUCUUCUAACCAAACUACAUUGACCAAAAAUAAACCAAUCUCAAAAAGAAAACAAUUAAAAUUACAUGUUAGUUACAAAUAUUGGAUCAAGUAUAUUGUUCCUAGGGUCCAAAGAGAGUAGUCAUCAAGGUCGACAUUGCUAAAGCUUUUGACACGGUCUCUUGGGACUUUCUUUUCCAGUGUCUUCAUGGUCUAGGAUUUCCUUUUCCUCUUCCCAUUCUUGAACUGGCUUCGAGCCUGCAUUUGUUCACCAAGCUUCAUGGUUGGUUAUAAUGGUACGGUUCAUGGUUAUUUCAAAGGUAAAAGAGGUCUUAGGCAGGGUGAUCCCCUAUCCCCUUACCUUUUUGUUAUAGCAAUGAACACCCUUUCUCUCAUGUUGAACAAAGCGGCAGAAGAAGGAAAGUUUAACUAUCAUCACAACUGUGAUAAGGCCAAACUAACCCACCUCUGCUUUGCUGAUGACCUGCUCAUUUUUGUUGAUGGCACUCUCUCCUCUGUUCAGGCUGUCCUGCACGUUAUAAAAGAAUUUGAAGACAGAUCAGGACUUGCAAUUAGCAUAAAUAAGUCUUCAUAUUUUGGUGGAGGGCUAACUGUUGAAGAAACCGAACUUAUCACUGCGGUUACUGGUCUCCCCCUUGGUUGUCUCCCUGUUCGUUAUCUUGGAGUUCCCCUGUGCACAAAAAAGCUUAAUAUGCUAGAUUGUGAGCCUCUACUGCUUCAAGUCAAGGGAAAAAUAAACAGUUGGACUACCAAAUUCUUAUCUUUUGCAGGAAGGUUGUUACUCAUUAACACUGUCAUUGCAGGGAUCACUAAUUUUUGGUGCUCCACUUUUGUACUUCCAAAGCUCUGCAUCCGUAAAAUAAACUCUAUCUGUAGUGCUUUUUUAUGGAAAGGAAAUUUGGAAGGUCAUCAUUCAGCAAGGGUUUCUUGGGAGAAAGUGACAAAACCUAAAGAUCAGGGAGGUUUGGGGAUCAAAGAUCUUACCAUCUGGAAUAAGGCCUGCUCCAUAAGACUAAUCUGGCUCCUCUUCUUUAGAUCGGGCUCGGUUUGGGUGGCUUGGUACAAGGUUCAUUUUCUGCGUGGGUCUCUAAACAACUUCUGGACUAUGAAACAAAGACCUGCUUACUCAUGGUUGGCAAAUAAGCUGUUGAAGUACAGAGAAGUAACCUAUGAAUGGAUAAAAUUGCGAGUAGGAAAUGGGCUUACAUGUAGGUUCUGGACUGACAAUUGGUCUCCAUUUGGGAAGCUAUUGAGCUACUUUCAGAGUGGUGCGGAUGCAAGAAUGGGAAUACGCCAGCAUACUACAUUAUCAAAGUUGUACAAUCAGGGCACUUGGAUGCUACCAAAUCCGAGAUCGGACAAACAACUAUCUCUCCAUAUCUUCCUCACUACUUUGAUCCUCACUGAUUCUGAAGACCACUAUGAGUGGGAGCUGGAUGGAGCGAUUCAACAAAGGUACUCAACUGGUCAAGUCUACUCCCUGCUUAGUGAACAAUUACCCCUUGUUCCUUGGAAAGAGGUGGUUUGGUUCCCAGGCUCAAUCCCAAAACACAGCUUUCUCACAUGGCUUCUGAUCCAGAACCGUUGCCCAACCCGUUAUCGCAUUCUAGGAUGGGGCCUCCAAACGGAUCCUCUCUGUCUUCUCUGUGGCAACUCUCCUGAAACCAGAAAUCAUAUCUGGUUUGAAUGCUCUUACUCUUGGACCCUAUGGGAAUCUGUUGCUGCUCGAUGUAGGUUGCAACCGAUGAGAUAUUGGGAAGCUUCUUUAUCCCAAUUGCAAGUGAUGCGUGGCCCUAAGGAUCAACGAAGGUUAACCCUACUUGCUUGGCAGUGCUCGUUAUACACCAUAUGGGCUGAGCGGAACCAUCGUCUCCAUAGCGUCUCCUUCAGAGCUGUGGAUGACCUCCUCAAAACGAUUGAUGCUACUAUCAGGAACAGAAUUGCCUCUUACAGAGAGGUAAAUCAAAUCAUUUCUUCGCUCAUGUUUCAACGCUGGUUCUCCUCUGAGUGAUACCAUCGACAAUGACCGUCACUAUUCUAUCGGCUAGGGUAACCUAUUACUCUCUAGGUUCAAUGUACGAUCCUUUCAAUGUUUGUUUUGUGCUUUCUGGGCUAGGCCUUUUACAACACUAAAGCUGGGCUUUUGUAUCUUUUUUUUUUCUUUUGCAUUUAAUAGAAAGCCUGUUACAAAAAAAAGUAUAUUGUUCCUAUAACUUUAUAAUAUACGAAAAGAUGGAAUUUACCGUCAAGUGUUCUCCUCUCUUCUCUUCAUCAGCAACGUAAAACAUAUACACAUCUCUCUACUUCUUUCUUUUCCACAAAACCCUUCAAUGAGAUCUGAUUCCAUCUUAGAAUUUCCUAAACUACGAAUGAUUAGGUUUUGUUGUGUCUAUAUAUUCAACUAGCAGUUGACCCGCGCUCCGCGCGGGAGGUUUAUAAUUUUGUUUUGUUGAUUUUUUAUUCAUAUUGUGAUAUUUUAUUAUUUUUUAAUUGAUUUUCAAAAAAUAUUAUAAUUAUUUUCUCUUUAAUUAUUAUCUUUCAAUACUCAAAUUUGGAUUAAAAGCAUUUG